AUUGAACGCUGGCGGCAGGCCUAACACAUGCAAGUCGAGCGGAUGAAGGGAGCUUGCUCCUGGAUUCAGCGGCGGACGGGUGAGUAAUGCCUAGGAAUCUGCCUGGUAGUGGGGGAUAACGUCCGGAAACGGGCGCUAAUACCGUAUACGCCCUGAGGGAGAAAGUGGGGGAUCUUCGGACCUCACGCUAUCAGAUGAGCCUAGGUCGGAUUAGCUAGUUGGUGGGGUAAAGGCCUACCAAGGCGACGAUCCGUAACUGGUCUGAGAGGAUGAUCAGUCACACUGGAACUGAGACACGGUCCAGACUCCUACGGGAGGCAGCAGUGGGGAAUAUUGGACAAUGGGCGAAAGCCUGAUCCAGCCAUGCCGCGUGUGUGAAGAAGGUCUUCGGAUUGUAAAGCACUUUAAGUUGGGAGGAAGGGCAGUAAGUUAAUACCUUACUGUUUUGACGUUACCAACAGAAUAAGCACCGGCUAACUUCGUG
rnacentral:rRNA from 1 species